rnacentral:rRNA from 1 species
GGGUUGUGAGGUUAAGCGACUAAGCGUACACGGUGGAUGCCCUGGCAGUCAGAGGCGAUGAAGGACGUGCUAAUCUGCGAAAAGCGUCGGUAAGGUGAUAUGAACCGUUACAGCCGGCGAUGUCCGAAUGGGGAAACCCAGUGCAAUUCGUUGCACUAUCGUUAACUGAAUACAUAGGUUAACGAGGCGAACCGGGGGAACUGAAACAUCUAAGUACCCCGAGGAAAAAAAAUCAACCGAGAUUCCCCCAGUAGCGGCGAGCGAACGGGGAGCAGCCCAGAGUCUGAAUCAGCUUGUGUGUUAGUGGAACGGUCUGGAAAGUCCGACGGUACAGGGUGAUAGUCCCGUACACCAAAAUGCACAGGCUGUGAACUCGAAGAGUAGGGCGGGACACGUGGUAUCCUGUCUGAAUAUGGGGGGACCAUCCUCCAAGGCUAAAUACUCCUGACUGACCGAUAGUGAACCAGUACCGUGAGGGAAAGGCGAAAAGAACCCCGGCGAGGGGAGUGAAAAAGAACCUGAAACCGUGUACGUACAAGCAGUGGGAGCACCUUCGGGUGUGACUGCGUACCUUUUGUAUAAUGGGUCAGCGACUUAUAUUCUGUAGCAAGGUUAACCGUAUAGGGGAGCCGCAGGGAAACCGAGUCUUAACUGGGCGUUAAGUUGCAGGGUAUAGACCCGAAACCCGGUGAUCUAGCCAUGGGCAGGUUGAAGGUUGGGUAACACUAACUGGAGGACCGAACCGACUAAUGUUGAAAAAUUAGCGGAUGACUUGUGGCUGGGGGUGAAAGGCCAAUCAAACCGGGAGAUAGCUGGUUCUCCCCGAAAGCUAUUUAGGUAGCGCCUCGUGAAUUCAUCUUCGGGGGUAGAGCACUGUUUCGGCUAGGGGGUCAUCCCGACUUACCAACCCGAUGCAAACUACGAAUACCGAAGAAUGUUAUCACGGGAGACACACGGCGGGUGCUAACGUCCGUCGUGAAGAGGGAAACAACCCAGACCGCCAGCUAAGGUCCCAAAGUCAUGGUUAAGUGGGAAACGAUGUGGGAAGGCACAGACAGCCAGGAUGUUGGCUUAGAAGCAGCCAUCAUUUAAAGAAAGCGUAAUAGCUCACUGGUCGAGUCGGCCUGCGCGGAAGAUGUAACGGGGCUAAACCAUGCACCGAAGCUGCGGCAGCGACACUAUGUGUUGUUGGGUAGGGGAGCGUUCUGUAAGCCUGCGAAGGUGACCUGUGAGGGUUGCUGGAGGUAUCAGAAGUGCGAAUGCUGACAUAAGUAACGAUAAAGCGGGUGAAAAGCCCGCUCGCCGGAAGACCAAGGGUUCCUGUCCAACGUUAAUCGGGGCAGGGUGAGUCGACCCCUAAGGCGAGGCCGAAAGGCGUAGUCGAUGGGAAACAGGUUAAUAUUCCUGUACUUGGUGUUACUGCGAAGGGGGACGGAGAAGGCUAUGUUAGCCGGGCGACGGUUGUCCCGGUUUAAGCAUGUAGGCUGGUUAUCCAGGCAAAUCCGGAUAAUCAAGGCUGAGGUGUGAUGACGAGGCACUACGGUGCUGAAGUAACAAAUGCCCUGCUUCCAGGAAAAGCCUCUAAGCAUCAGGUAACAUCAAAUCGUACCCCAAACCGACACAGGUGGUCAGGUAGAGAAUACCAAGGCGCUUGAGAGAACUCGGGUGAAGGAACUAGGCAAAAUGGUGCCGUAACUUCGGGAGAAGGCACGCUGGUGUGUAGGUGAAGUCCCUGCGGAUGGAGCUGAGACCAGUCGAAGAUACCAGCUGGCUGCAACUGUUUAUUAAAAACACAGCACUGUGCAAACACGAAAGUGGACGUAUACGGUGUGACGCCUGCCCGGUGCCGGAAGGUUAAUUGAUGGGGUUAUCCGUAAGGAGAAGCUCUUGAUCGAAGCCCCGGUAAACGGCGGCCGUAACUAUAACGGUCCUAAGGUAGCGAAAUUCCUUGUCGGGUAAGUUCCGACCUGCACGAAUGGCGUAAUGAUGGCCAGGCUGUCUCCACCCGAGACUCAGUGAAAUUGAACUCGCUGUGAAGAUGCAGUGUACCCGCGGCAAGACGGAAAGACCCCGUGAACCUUUACUAUAGCUUGACACUGAACAUUGAGCCUUGAUGUGUAGGAUAGGUGGGAGGCUUUGAAGCGUGGACGCCAGUCUGCGUGGAGCCAACCUUGAAAUACCACCCUUUAAUGUUUGAUGUUCUAACGUUGGCCCCUGACCGGGGUUGCGGACAGUGUCUGGUGGGUAGUUUGACUGGGGCGGUCUCCUCCCAAAGCGUAACGGAGGAGCACGAAGGUUAGCUAAUCCUGGUCGGACAUCAGGAGGUUAGUGCAAUGGCAUAAGCUAGCUUGACUGCGAGCGUGACGGCGCGAGCAGGUGCGAAAGCAGGUCAUAGUGAUCCGGUGGUUCUGAAUGGAAGGGCCAUCGCUCAACGGAUAAAAGGUACUCCGGGGAUAACAGGCUGAUACCGCCCAAGAGUUCAUAUCGACGGCGGUGUUUGGCACCUCGAUGUCGGCUCAUCACAUCCUGGGGCUGAAGUAGGUCCCAAGGGUAUGGCUGUUCGCCAUUUAAAGUGGUACGCGAGCUGGGUUUAGAACGUCGUGAGACAGUUCGGUCCCUAUCUGCCGUGGGCGCUGGAGAAUUGAGGGGGGCUGCUCCUAGUACGAGAGGACCGGAGUGGACGCAUCACUGGUGUUCGGGUUGUCAUGCCAAUGGCACUGCCCGGUAGCUAAAUGCGGAAGAGAUAAGUGCUGAAAGCAUCUAAGCACGAAACUUGCCCCGAGAUGAGUUCUCCCUGAGACUUUAAGUCUCCUGAAGGAACGUUAAAGACGAUGACGUUGAUAGGCCGGGUGUGUAAGCGCAGCGAUGCGUUGAGCUAACCGGUACUAAUGAACCGUGAGGCUUAACCUUACAACGCCGAAG